AUGUGGCCCCUGAAGUUGUGUGAGAUUACAUCAUCCACAGUAGCAAAGAUGGAUGCCAAAGCAAACAAUUUCAUCCGUAAGUGGCUUGGCUUACCUCGAAGUCUGUCCAACACAGGCCUUUUUGGGAGAAACACACUUCAGCUGCCACUGAAGCCCAUCAGCCUAGGCUACAGACAGGAGAAGACAAGGCUUGUGCUUGAGCUGAGAGACUCAACCGACCCUGUUGUAAGAAACACCAAGGCUCCUGUCCGAACCGGAAGCAAAUGGAAGGCAGAAGAGGCUGUUGACCAGGCCAUCAGCAAGCUUAAGCACAACGAAAUCGUGGGAAAGACGCAGUCCGGCAGAGCUGGGUUAGGCUGGGGAACAGCCCCCAAGUUCUGGUCGAAAGCCACAAGAAAUGAGAGGAAAGAGCUGGUAAUUGAAGAGGUGACCAGGAGCGAGGAAAACCAGUACAAGAUUAAAGCACUCAGCCAGCCACAACAAGGGCGUUGGACAACAUGGGAAGGCGUGUUCAAUAGGACCAUAGGGUGGUCAGACAUAUGGAAGAUGCCUCAAGCAAGGCUGAGCUUCCUUAUCCGGGCCACCUAUGACACCCUACCCAGCCCCAGCAAUCUGAGCCUAUGGUUUGGCUCAGAGGAAAACUGCCAUCUCUGUAAGACUCCAAGCGCGACGUUACAACACAUCCUGUCCGGUUGCAAAACAGCUCUGGCCCAGGGUAGGUACAGAUGGCGGCAUGACCAGGUCUUGAGGAAACUGGCAGAGGUCCUGGAAGUACGGAGGAUGGAGGCAGCUAAAGAUCCUCCCACGAAGACACCGUCUUUGAUCCACUUUGUUGGAGAAGGGGCUGGAGCACAGAACACCAACCAGAGAGGGACAACAUCACUGCUAACACCAGGAUGCGACUGGAACUUAAGGGUGGACCUCGACCGCCAGCUCAAGUUCCCACCAGAAAUAACCACCACCGCUCUGCGACCAGACAUCAUCCUGUGGUCCUCUGCAGCCAAAGCAGUAAUCCUGGCAGAGCUCACAAUCCCUUGGGAGGGAGGAAUGGAUGCUGCAUAUGAAAGGAAGAAGGACAAAUACACAGAGCUGGUAGCUGAGUGCCGAGAUGCUGGGUGGUCAACCAUCAUCUGCCCGGUGGAGGUCGGCUGCAGGGGCUUUGUUGGAACAUCCACCCAGCUCCUCCUUAGGAAGAUGGGAGUGACUGGGUCGAAAUUGAAGAAGGCAUCCAAGGACUUGGCGGAGGAGGCUGAAAAAGCCAGUUUCUGGCUAUGGUUGAGGAGGAAGGACAGUUCGUGGGGAAAAGAUGGGUCCUAA
rnacentral:lncRNA from 1 species